UCGAAACCUGCCCAGCAGAGCGACCCGUGAACAUGUUCAACCUCAUGGGUGUUGGGGCGUUGCUAGGCGCCUCGUGUGCCUUCCUCGUCCCUCACCCAAGCCGGGGGGGCGCUCACUUGUGAGUUGUCUCCUCGGCAAAACAACGAACCCCGGCGCGUAAAGCGUCAAGGAAUAUAAACUCUAUGUGUGCACUCACCCGCUGCCCGGUUAGCCGGGCUUUGGAGUGGUGCCAUGUCUUAACAAUA
rnacentral:rRNA from 1 species